AUGGAUUGUACCCCUGCCAUAGCCCCACCCCAAGUACCUUCCAUUCCAUCCCGCCAGACUCCCCCCACUCCUGCCACAGCUCCACCCCGCCCCCCCACUACCUCCCAUCCUGGCCCUGCCACGGCCCCACCCACCAGCCCUGUUUCUUCCCCCCAGGACCUCUUACCCCGGCCCUGUCCCCUGUAUCUCCCCACCCCUUCCAUGGCCCCCCCAGUGUCCUCCCACCCCAGCCCUGCCCCUUGUACCUCCCCACCCCUUCCAUGGCCCCCCCCCAGUGUCCUCCCACCCCGGCCCUGUCCCCUGUAUCUCCCCACCCCUUCCAUGGCCCCCCCAAUGUCCUCCCACCCCGGCCCUGUCCCCUGUACCUCCCCACCCCUUCCAUGGCCCCCCCAGUGUCCUCCCACUCCAGCCCUGUCCCCUGUACCUCCCCACCCCUUCCAUGGCUCCCCCCAAUGUCCUCCCACCCCAGCCCUGUCCCCUGUACCUCCCCACCCCUUCCAUGGCCCCCCCAGUGUCCUCCCACUCCAGCCCUGUCCCCUGUACCUCCCCACCCCUUCCAUGGCUCCCCCCAAUGUCCUCCCACCCCGGCCCUGUCACCUGUACCUCCCCACCCCUUCCAUGGCCCCCCCAGUGUCCUCCCACCCCAGCUCUGUCCCCUGUACCUCCCCACCCCUUCCAUGGCUCCCCCCAAUGUCCUCCCACCCCGGCCCUGUCACCUGUACCUCCCCACCCCUUCCAUGGCCCCCCCAGUGUCCUCCCACCCCAGCCCUGCCCCCUGUACCUCUCCACCUCUUCCAUGGUCCCCCCAGUGUCCUCCCACCCCAGCCCUGUCCCCUGUACCUCCCCACCCCUUCCAUGGCCCCCCCAGUGUCCUCCCACCCCAGCCCUGUCCCCUGUACCUCCCCACCCCUUCCAAGGCCCCCCCAGUGUCCUCCCACCCCAGCCCUGCCCCCUGUACCUCUCCACCUCUUCCAUGGUCCCCCCACCGUCCUUCCACCCCAGCCCUGCCCCUUGUACCUCCCCACCCCUUCCAAGGCCCCCCCAGUGUCCUCCCACCCCAGCACUGCCCCCCAGAACCCCACCCCCACUACCUCCCACUCUGGCCUGGCCCUGCCCCUCAAUACACCCCCACCCAUGCCACAGCCCACCCCUCAGUACCUCCCACCCCAGCCCUGCCAAUCUUCUCCCUCCCUGGCUGCUCCUGUUCCCGGGUUCCACUCCCUUCUCCCCUGA
rnacentral:lncRNA from 1 species